CAGCAGCCGCGGGAAUACGAGGGGGGCAAGCGUUGUUCGGAAUUAUUGGGCGUAAGGGUGCGUAGGCGGUUUGGCAAGUUUGGUGUGAGAUCUUCGGGCUCAACUCGAAGUCCGCAUCGAAAACUGCCGGGCUUGAGUAUGGGAGAGGUGAGUGGAAUUUCCGGUGUAGCGGUGAAAUGCGUAGAUAUCGGAAGGAACACCUGUGGCGAAAGCGGCUCACUGGACCAUAACUGACGCUGAUGCACGAAAGCUAGGGGAGCAAACAGGAUUAGAUACCCGCGUAGUCCCUGUCUCUUAUACA
rnacentral:rRNA from 1 species